AUUGAACGCUGGCGGCAUGCUUUACACAUGCAAGUCGAACGGCAGCGCGGGCUUCGGCCUGGCGGCGAGUGGCGAACGGGUGAGUAAUACAUCGGAACGUGCCCAGUAGUGGGGGAUAGCUCGGCGAAAGCCGGAUUAAUACCGCAUACGACCUGAGGGUGAAAGCGGGGGAUCUUCGGACCUCGUGCUAUUUGAGCGGCCGAUGGCAGAUUAGCUAGUUGGUGGGGUAAAGGCCUACCAAGGCGACGAUCUGUAGCUGGUCUGAGAGGACGACCAGCCACACUGGGACUGAGACACGGCCCAGACUCCUACGGGAGGCAGCAGUGGGGAAUUUUGGACAAUGGGCGAAAGCCUGAUCCAGCAAUGCCGCGUGUGUGAUGAAGGCCUUCGGGUUGUAAAGCACUUUUGGCGGGAACGAAAAGGACUGUGCCAAUACCACGGUUCGAUGACGGUACCCGCAGAAUAAGCACCGGCUAACUACGUG
rnacentral:rRNA from 1 species